rnacentral:rRNA from 1 species
AACUUUCAACAACGGAUCUCUUGGUUCUGGCAUCGAUGAAGAACGCAGCAAAAUGCGAUAAGUAAUGUGAAUUGCAGAAUUCAGUGAACCAUCGAAUCUUUGAACGCACAUUGCGCCCGCCAGUAUUCUGGCGGGCAUGCCUGUUCGAGCGUCAUUU